GCGAAGCGAGGGCGAAGCCACGAUUAGUUUUCCGCGCCCGAAGGGCGCAGAGGGCCUGCAACAGCAACCCGCAGGUGCAGCACCGUCGCCGCGUCUUCCGGUGUUUCCUGCACGCUUCUGGACGCGAUGGUGAGCUCAUGCGCUGCCUUCGGCUGCACGAAUCGUGCGAAGAAAAAGCCAGGAAUCACUUUUCAUGUUUUCCCUAAAGACAAGACGCUGCGUGACGCAUGGCAGCGCGCUGUUCGUCGAGACGGCUGGACGCCUAAGGAUGCGCACGUUCUUUGCUCGGAGCAUUUUGAAGCUGGUUGCUUCGAUAGGACGGGCCAAACUACAAGGCUUCGACAGGGUAGCAUUCCCACAGUUUUUCCAGCGUUUCCCGCACAUCUGCAGAAACCAGGCAUCAUGGAUGCUGAUGUGAAGACAGAGCCGAGUAUUUGUCAAUCCAUGCCACCUCUUGAGAUCAUGUGUGCUGACAUUAAAGCAGAGCCAAGUAGCCUUGAAUCCAUGCCACGUUUUGACCCUCUAGGCAUGGACAGAGAAGGAAAACCUGAGCCUCCAAUCCUUCUGCCCAGGAUCAUCUCUGUAGCUACAUCGACAAAUAAUACUGAAACAUCUGUAGGCACGGCUGCGUUCGACAGGGACAUAAGAACCUCUGUGGAAACUACAAUAUCACCUCCGAAAAAGCCCAUACUUAGCGUAGCUAGCGGCAUUGAGUGUGAUGUGCGGGGGCAGUGCUUCACAAGUAAGGACACCCGGAGCAUACAUCGUAUUCUGCACACAGCCGAGAAGCCACACGCAUGCUCUGUCUGCGGCCACAAGUUUGCUCACAAGUCGGCUCUCGUCCGACACGUACGUCUCAUUCAUACGAGUGAGAAACCCUACGUUUGCCUUGUCUGUGGGAAGAAAUUUCCUCUGAAGUCCACACUCGUUGCACACAGUCACGUGCACACAGGUGAGAUGCCGUAUGCGUGCCAGGUAUGCCCAUCCAAAUUCCGCAUGAAGGUGUCUUUGGACAGACACAAGCAGCUGCAUGCCAGGGGAGUAGAGAUGUGCCACUGCCCAGAGUGUGGGAAGACCUUCGAGCGCAUGAGAUCUCUGCAGCAGCACUUGAAGUGGCACAAGACGGAAAGGCCAUACCCGUGCCACCUUUGCCCAGCUAAGUUUACACAGAAAUGCCAUCUGAAAAGUCAUCUGCUGGCUCACAUGGGUGAGAAAGAGCACAAGUGUCCUCUGUGUGAGAAACGCUAUUCCAGGCGUCCACCCCUUCAUAAGCACAUGCGCCGGAUGCACCGUGGAGUCGAGAGCACUGUCUCAUGCACAGGCAGCAGCAGUGAAAUCACGACAAGUAACUCUCUGGCCACUCUUCCUCCUGGCAUGGAAGGUGUUGAUGUCAAGGAAGAGCAGAGUAGCCCUGAACCCAUGCUGCCUUUUGGCAUGACGGGUAUUGACAUCAAGGCAGAGCCGAACAGCCCUGAACCUCUGCUGCCCUUUGAGCUCACAUGUGUUGGACUCAAGCCAGAGCCAAGUAGCCCUAAACCCAUGUUGCCUUUUGAGCUCACAUGUGUUGGCCUCAAGCCAGAGCCAAGUAGCCCUAAACCCAUGUUGCCUUUUGAGCUCACCUGUGUUGGCAUCAAGCCAGAGCCAAGUAGCCCUGAGCCCAUGUUGCCUUUUGAGCUCAGAUGUGUUGGCAUCAAGCCAGAGCCAAGUAGCCCUGAACCCAUGUUGCCUUUUGGCAUGGAAGGUGUUGACAUCAAGGCAGAACAGAGCAGCCCUGAACCCACGUUGGCUUUUGAGGACGUCAAGACGAAUCAAACAAGUCUCGCUGACGAAGCUCUUGACAGUAGCAGCACUGAAAGUUCAAGAGACAUCACGGAUAUCAAGUCAGGGUGAGCUCACCGGAGUACGCCGCAAACCGGAGUACACCGCAGCAUGAUUGACAGGAAUGGUUGUCUAAGGCAGAUGCCUGAAGGUACUGCGGAAUCACUACCCGAAAAGCCCAGAAUUAGCAUCGGCACUUGGUCCGAGCUCGACAUUUGCAGGCGGA
rnacentral:misc_RNA from 1 species